AGGCCAUCCUCCCCAAACCCUCUCAGGAAGGGCGGCCGGGGCGGCUCUUGCACCUCAGCCGCCCUUCCACCACCUCCGCCCCGCCCCAACAUAGCCAGGAGGCCUCCGUCCGGCCUUGGGAGGGGGUAGUCCUCCAGGGAAGAGCGGCCAGCAGAGGGCGAGGAGAACUGGACGGGCAGGCAAGGAGAGGAAUUGUCUAGCACGCUUGUCCUUAGUGGGCCUUUGAUGCUGACGAUCUAGCCUGUUGUAUUCAGAGGGCAGGUCCUCCAGGCUCUUCUUGGAAAUUGUCUAGCACGCUUGUCCUUAGUGGGCCUUUGAUGCUGACGAUCUAGCCUGUUGUAUUCAGAGGGCAGGUCCUCCAGGCCCGCCUCUUCUUGGAAUUCCACCUGGAGACGUUCUAGCCUUCAGAUAUCAGAGGGCAGGUCCUCCGGUCCCGCCUCUUCCUGCAAGUCGCCUGGGGACCAUCUAGCCCUUUACAGACAGAGAGCAGGUCCUCUGGGCCCGCCUCUUCCUGGAGUGUUGCCAUGGCGACAACAGGACGCCAAAGGCCAGUCCGUUUGGCUUUUCCUCCCCCUGUGUCUCCUCAUUUUUUGACCGACCUGCCGCUGCAGUUCCCAACAGCUGUUCCGGCUGCAACGCCAGUGGGAGAACCGGUCUCCACCGGAUGCUGCUCCGCGUGGAACAAGGAUGGCGGCUGGGUAACGAGGCCUGGGGGACAUGGCGAGCUGUCUCCAGUCUCCUUCUCAGCUCUGGUUCAAGUCCCGAAGUGGAGAUUCCUGAGGACUUCCAUCUCUCCUUCUUUCCCACCCAGGACAAGAGAAAGCACACUUCAGGGUGGAGCACCGCGGCCCUCUUCUUUGUUUUUUAUGUGUCGUUCUUUCAGUGAGCUCGUUCACGCGGAUGCAGAGCUUCAUCGUUCGUUUGCGCCACCCUGCAACCUCGAGGAGCGACCGGAUCCAGAAAGGUCGGCGGGACAUGGCGAGCUGUCUCCAGUCUCCCUCCCAGCUCGGGUUCGAGUCCCGAGGUGGAGAUUCCUGAGGACUUCCAUCUCCCCUUCUUUCCCGCCAAGGACGAGAGAAAGUGCAGUUCGGGGCUGAGUGCCGUGACCGUCUUCUUUGUGUUUCAUGUAAGUUAUUAUUUUAUUAUUACUCUUCUUCUGGCUUUUAUUGUUCUUGUCUCCUCC
ensembl:lncRNA